CUUUAAAUAGCCAGUACCUUUCAAUCCUGCCUCCACAUUUCCCUUCAGCUAGCGCCCUGACAGCUCGUUCCCUAAGGGUGGAAGGUUCCUCCCAAUUCUGAGCGGCCCCUGUCAAACUCCUGCAAGUGUUUCUUGCGCCUCCGCGUUCCUCUUCGCCUCCUGGGGCAUUUCAUAGAGGGCCUGAAUUUCUGCCUUGUUGCGUGACAUGUUCUAACUGUAAUGAAGGAAACUCCUUCUGAAGGUGGGAUGGAUUACAGAGUCCCUGGUGCAGUUAGCAAUGGCGAAACGAUACCUGCGCAUCCAGGCACAGAAAAGGAGAAGGAAGAGGAUCAGACUCUGGAACGAGGCCAGUGGAAUAACAAGCUGGAGUAUGUGUUGUCCGUGGCUGGGGAGAUCAUUGGUCUGGGAAAUGUGUGGCGGUUCCCCUACCUCUGCUACAAGAACGGUGGAGGUGCCUUCUUCAUCCCCUACCUCAUCUUCCUCUUCACCUGCGGCAUCCCAGUGUUCUUCCUGGAAACGGCACUAGGGCAGUACACGAGCCAGGGAGGGGUGACGGCCUGGAGGAGGAUUUGCCCUCUCUUUGAAGGAAUUGGCUAUGCCUCACAGGUCAUUGUCAUACUUCUGAACUCCUACUACAUUAUUGUCCUGGCCUGGGCCUUGUUUUAUCUCUUCAGUUCGUUCACCAUAGACCUUCCCUGGGGCAGCUGUGACCAUGAGUGGAACACAGGGAGCUGCAUGGAAUUCCAGAAGGCGAACUCCACGCUAAAUGUGACGAAUGAAAAUGCCACCUCCCCUGUCAUUGAGUUCUGGGAGAGGAGAGUGCUAAAGAUUUCCGAUGGCAUCCAGCACCUGGGCAGCCUGCGCUGGGAGCUGGCUUUGUGUCUGCUACUCGCAUGGAUCAUCUGCUACUUCUGCAUCUGGAAAGGGGUCAAGUCCACAGGGAAGGUGGUGUAUUUCACAGCUACAUUCCCAUACCUCAUGCUGGUAGUUCUGCUGAUCAGGGGAGUCUCCCUGCCGGGGGCAUCUCAAGGAAUCCUGUUUUACCUUUAUCCAGACCUCAGUCGCCUCAGGGACCCCCAGGUCUGGAUGGAUGCAGGCACUCAGAUCUUCUUCUCGUAUGCAAUAUGCCUGGGAUGCCUGACAGCUCUGGGUAGCUACAACAAAUACCAUAACAACUGCUACAGGGACAGCGUGGCUCUCUGCUUCCUCAACAGUGGCACCAGCUUUGUGGCUGGCUUUGCCAUCUUCUCCAUCCUGGGCUUCAUGGCGGGGGAGCAGGGUGUGCCCAUCGCUGAGGUGGCUGAGUCGGGGCCUGGCCUGGCAUUCAUCGCCUACCCUCGGGCUGUCGUCAUGUUGCCCUUCUCCCCGCUCUGGGCCUGCUUCUUCUUCCUGAUGGUUGUUUUGCUGGGACUGGACAGCCAGUUCGUCUGCGUGGAGAGCCUUGUCACAGCUCUUGUCGACAUGUACCCGACCAUCUUCCGCAAGAAGAACCGCCGGGAAACCCUCAUCUUGCUGGUGUCCAUCCUCUCCUAUCUGGUUGGACUGAUGAUGCUCACGGAGGUAUUUUGGGCUGGGGGGAGAGUGAGGAGUCUGGCCCUGCACCUUCCUCCAAGCACCUAUGGAGCACUCACUGGGUCUGAAUACCUCCCUGGUGAGGGGGCACGGGACAGUGGGUGGAUUGGUCAAGGGUGCUGGGGCUGUUGGCUAGUUGGUGAGCUGGCUGGCUUGUCCGACUGCUCGGUGCCUGGUGGGAGAGGGUCAGGGAGGCUGUUAGCAGUGGACCUGGGCAGCCUGGGAGGUGGUGGUCCUCUCUCCCUGUUCAGCAUUGCCCCAGUGUUGUUGCAUGAUGCUGGUGGCUCUUUGCUGCUGGAUAAGUUUCGGGCACAAGCGUCUGGCUGCUACAUGACAUUAAAAAGUCCAAGGAGUAUUUUGGAAAAGUGGCUAUUGUGUAGCUAUGAACUGUGCCAGUACAAAUCCUUCCCUUUCCAGAUGGCAUUUGAAUUUUUCCCUUCCAGUCCUGACCCCCUGUGCUAUUUAUAUGUGCUAACACAUCCCUGACACCUCUCCUGCCUAGAAUGAUAAUUAGAGCUCCAGGAAGGCAAUGUUGUGGUUCAGAUUUAUCUUUACAGCUAGCCAAAGCUUUACAGCUGUAGCCUGUUGCAUGGCUGGGAGAGCACCUUUGUCCUUCCCUUUCCUACUGGAUGGAGCUGCAUGAAAGCUGGGAAUCAAGAAACUUGAUGGGCCUGAGUGUCCAUUACACUGAUUUCCUAUGUAGUCCCUUCUUUGUGAAUUGUGAUUAAUUGCCUGGAGUUAAAACUGUUCUGCUUUAAAAUCUUUGACUCCUCUCAUAAGUGGGAGGGGUAGAUGCUGCCAUGAUGCUUUUUCCUGUUUCCAUCUUCUGUAUUCCUUUGGGCCUGAUGUUGAAAAAGUGGCCUUUGAUGUUGCAUCUACAGCUUUGUGUCUUCCUUAACUAUGGACCUCUUUUGUAGACUGGCUUUCAGAAUUGGGCAGUGAAACAUCCAACUGCUAACCUGUGAGUGCACAGCAACAGGUGCUUGCAAAAUUGCAUGCACAUCUAUUUCCUUGUGCCAGUUAGAAGGCUGAAUUUAGUCAGGUGCAUUGUGUCUCUUAAGGGAGUCUCCACCCUCGCUUCCAACUAGAAGACUUGCUGUUUUUAUUCCUGUCCUGAAAUAGCCCCAAGAUCCUCAUGGUGACUUCCCCUCUCCUGUCCUGCCCUGGAAUGAAGAGCUGUAUAGAACCCUGAGAGCAGGGAGACUAGGGCUGCUGCAUGUCUCCAUCAGGCUGUGAGCACAAGGGAUGUGGCCUUUGCUCUUGCUGUUUCCCCAGAGAGGGGGAAGUUGCCUCUAGCUUGGGGGAAAAUUUUGAGUUUGAUUCCUGCUCUGGCUGAAUCUCUUUGCCUGUUCCUGAUUCCUUUCCCUUCUCUUCCUCCCCACCUUGCCUUGCUUCCCGCUUGGCCCUUCCCAGGGGGGGAUGUAUGUCUUCCAGCUCUUUGAUUACUAUGCUGCCAGUGGCAUGUGCCUGCUCUUUGUGGCCAUCUUCGAGACCCUCUGCAUCGCCUGGGUCUAUGGUGCCGAGCGUUUCUAUGAU